rnacentral:rRNA from 1 species
CCCUUAGACGUUCUGGGCCGCACGCGCGCUACACUGACCAGUGCAACAAGCAUCCGUCCUUGGCCGACAGGCUCGGGCAAUCUUUGAACGCUGGUCGUGAUGGGGAUAGACUUUUGCAAUUUUUGGUCUUCAACGAGGAAUUCCUAGUAAACGCAAGUCAUCAACUUGCAUUGAUUACGUCCCUGCCCUUUGUACACACCGCCCGUCGCACCUACCGAUUGAAUGGUCCGGUGAAGCCUCCGGAUUGGCGCGCACCUCGGUGCCGCCGAGAAGUUGGCUAAACCUUACCAUUUAGAGGAAGGUGAAGUUGUAAUA